GAAUGCAGCCCCCGUGAGCCGUGGCUCUCCUUGGUUAUUGGGUGCUACCCCUGAAGUUGAUUUUAAAGUUCAACAGAAUGGUCAGGUAAAGGAGCUGUUGAAAAGAAAUCCAGUAUAAUUCAAUAGAGCCAUUUUAUUGGAUUCUAUUAACCUGUUUAACCUUAAGCUAGAACAUGGCAGGAGUUUCAUGUAGGAGCCCACGUACCAAGUGCAAUAUUGAAUUUUAAUUAGUGCAUUCCAGGUUUGAUGUGGAAUAGAUUCACAUUUCUCACUGCCUUUCAUUAUAUAUUUUCCUUAGGAUCUUGUAUUUAAGAAACAGUUUUAGUAUUGGGGGGUGGGAAGAGUACCCUUUGAAUCAUGAAAGUUUCUUUGACGAACUUGAAAACUGGGUAGGUAAAAUGUGAACCGUGAUACUGAGAUAAGGUAGGAAACUGAAUUUUAUAGCAUUACCAAUUUGAGAAGUUAAGAAGGCUUUUUUACUCCUGUUUUGAAACCGUGUUGACAACUUAAUCUGACAGACUGCAGAAGUACAGAAUUUUCUGUUUGUGAGGAAAUUCAGCAGUUAACUAUUAAUUAUUAUUAAUAAUUAAUUUAUUGCAACCCUAUAAUUUUGCAGAGUAAAAGUAAUCCAAGUUUCCUGAAGAGAUUUAACAUGAACUGAAUAGAACUAGUUGACUUAAUCGAACACCUAGGUAGAUCAUUCAUACCUCCCCAAUGGAUAUUUUUGUACCAAAAUUUGUUUUGAUUUUGAUGUCUUAAAAACAAAAAGCCAAGUUAUUACUAACGUUGAAUUUUUUCCCGGUGUUUUGAGUAUAUGCCUUAGUUUGUGAUUUGGAGUCAUUAGAUCAAAUGAUACAGAUUAUAUUUAGGCAAUCUUUACAUUUCAUCAAUUGAAACAGUACUUUCCAGUUUGUUUGAAUUUAGUAACUAUUUUCACUUCGAGAAUGUUUAUUCAUAUUCUUGAUUCAGAUAGUCUGUGUCAAUUCCAGCAGGUUGGCAUUGCAAGAGUCCUAGGGUUAUGGUGUAUGUAACCUUGAUAUUAAUUAGGAAGAAAGGUCCUGUAACACAUGGAGUCAUCGAAUUCUAGCAUCCUCAGCUCCCUUUUGGUAGUGGUCCUCAAUGCAGAAGUCCCCAGGUCCUUGCUGGGGUAGGGUGAAUUCUUUGCAUCUCCCACUCCAGUGUUUACUGCAGGUGUUUAGUAGAUACUUUUUGGCUUGUGUGCAUUUUCCCUGGUGUGGCUUCAUGUAAGGUGGGCUGUGUUUUAUUCAUCUUUGUAUGCUUCAUGUCAAGCGAAGUGUACUUUGUAAUGCUUGUGGUUUUGUUGGGCUUAAUCAAAUUUAAGAAGGUAGCAGAGUGCUUGGAAGUCAUGAAUCAUGAUAUUAUAAACUUGAAAUACCUCAUUUCCAUUUUUGUGUUGAAUAGAUACUCUGUUAGGCUGAAUUCCAAUAUUGAAAGAGGUAGCAGGUAUCUAAUAUUUUAGAUAAAUUGAGGCAAGAGGUUAACAUUGAGAAUUUUGUUCUUUAAUGUACAUUACCCACUGUGAAAUUGGAAAAGGACACCAUUAUUUAAAUUUUUUGAUAGGACACCUCAGUUGAGCUAAAAUAAUACAAAUUUUCCACUGGAGCAAAGUUUGAGAAUUGUGAAUUGAAUGACCCUAAUUGUUACUGUACGCCACGUUUUAAGGCCUUGGUUUCACUUUAUAAAGAUAUAUUUUUCAGUACAUAGACUUCUGGAAGCAGCAUGACUUACGGAGUUCAGACUCCUGUGGUAAAAAGCUGUCCUGAAAUGAUAUUUUACACAGUUUCUGGCUGAUGCCUUGUGCUUCAUGGUGGUGAUAAUGAAAACAAACAAACCCCAAACCAAACAAACCUUACUGUAUUUUCUUUUUCCCUUAGGCUUAUAUUCUUUCUUUAAUUGAUUAUUAUAGUGUGCUUUGUUUAUUAAAAAAAAAAUUACUGAGGAAAUUUUUCAAGCAUUUCUUUUGGAAAGUACCACCACUCCACCCUUUGAAUAGCCUUGGCAAGUAAUGUUUGGGCAAAUGCAGGGCCAUUUCCAUAGUGUGAUUCCUAUUUGAGUAUGUUGAGUUAUAUGAAUAAUAGUUUUCAUAGGGACAUCAUCUUUGGACUACAUGCAUUUUUUUUUCCCCUCAUGACACUAUUACUGAAAACAAUUGUACAGUACAGUAUGAUAGUGCUUAAUUUGUAGGGGGCAGAUAAUUUCAUAUCUAUCAUUGCUGGUUCCUGUGUCAGUCCCAGGCUACCUGGCCCACCCACUGCCUGUUCUGUCUUUUCCACCCACUUCUUGAAUUGAUUUUUAAGACUGAAAAUACCUUAAGAUCCCCAGCCUCUUCAGGAGGUGGGAUCUGGAAUUAUUCUGGUGCCCUUGGCAUCCAUUGCUCACAGAGGUUUGGUGUCUUACUAUAUCCUUGGCAUGUACUCACUUUGACUGAGUUUCAAAAUGAGAUUCUCAUUUUGAAAAAUGCUUUCACUCAUCAGGAGUUUUGAAAUAUAUGGCAUAAACAUUUUAGGGAAGUAUGUGUGAAGCAUCUAGAAUAUAUUAAUAUAGAUUUAGAUGGAAUUAGUUUAUAGAAUCAGACAAUUGAUAAGAAUUAGUGAGACUGUCUAGUCGUUUUCUCCCACACUUGAAGGUCACACUUAAGUCAUUUAAACUCAAGAUUACAAUUUUUUUGAGUACUUAUUUUUAAAAGUGAAGCAGUUCUGCAGUAUUUCCUUAGCAUAAAAUAAUCCAUAGAGUUGAUAUAUUUCUUUUAUUAUUCCUUUUUGUAUUCCAAAUCCCUUGUGGACCUGGAACCUUGUCUUGAGCCUGCUCCAGAGCUCUUCCUCUCCUCGCCAUCCUCUCUUCCUUCAGGGAACUUGGACCUGGUCUUGUCCAUGGUGGACGGUUGGGGUCCUAUUUCAACUGGGGCAGAACUAGCAGAGUCAAGAUACCUUGAUACUGCUUCUCAGACUCACACUCACUGGAUUGACUUCUUAGGUACUGAGGACAGGACAGCUGAGAGCUGGGCUCUUUGGCUGUUAUAAUUUCAGCUUUUUUUGAGGGUCAACUUUCAUUUGCAUCUGACGCUAGGACACCCUGGUCAUCCAGUCAUUAUGUAGAUCCCCUUCCUGACUACCCUGCUCUUGGUUCUCUGCCUUUGUAGCUGAGUUACUUACUGGGUGAUUUCUAUCCAGUUUCAGUGGUAACUAAUUAUUUUCAGGUGUUUGAUUUUCUAACCAGGUUUUCUCUCAGUUUUGAGCUUUCAUUUGACCAAGUAUCUGUUAUACUUUCCCAUAGCACAUUUGUUCGUUAUCUGUCUUUCUUUCUAGACUGUGUGUACCCAGAGUGGUGGGACCGAAUUUGUGCUGUUCCUGUUGGUGUCCUCAGCACUUAGUACAGUACCUGGCACAUAACAGGUGACACUGAUACAAAUCCGUUCAAGAAUUUAGAUGUGACAUCUGCAGCAGGUUCAGAUCUCUCAGCUAUAAGACAAACUGGAUACUUCAUAAAGAUUGUCAUCUAUUAUGCGCAGAGAGCCAAAAUCCGUUACUGAGAUUGUCUGGGUGAACUGCCUGCUGGGUCCAGUGAUGCACUAGUAGACAGAGAAGUUGAAAAAGAAGGCUGGCAUAUUCUUUGGAUGACUGGCAGAAUGUGACACCAAUAUGGCAUCGAGCCCUACUGUGAUUCCAAGAACUGGAUGACUAAAUAAAAAUGAUUUUUUUGGCAGGGGUGGUUCAAGUAACUUUGAUCUUUACUUGGGGAAUGUGUAAUGCAUUAUCAUUCCAUAGUGACACAUGGUGAUUGCUUUGGUAAUCAGACUUUAAAGAUCCUGUCUGUUGAUGGAUUUUAAUGUAUUACAGUUAUCACCUUUUAGUAUUGGGCUUUUUUACACUAAGGGUAAUAUUGUAAAGAGAAACAUCUGCUUAACCUAAAAAAAUUAACCUAAAAACGUUAAUUUAAAGACUAUGAUUUCACAUGGAAGUUUUUGCUUGGGAGAUUUUUGAAAUUUUGCUCUCCCCUAGCGUGUUUAAAAUAUGCUUCUAUUUGUAAAAAGCUACUCCUCCCAGAAUUUUCUAGGAGAAUAUCCUUUUGUGUAGGCUACUGAAAUCAAUAGUAAGUAGAAAAUCGUAUUCUACAGUGCUAAUGUGCAUAGAACAUAGUAUUAUAAAUUAAUACUAACUACUACUAUUAAUUAAUGUCUUCAGACCUAUUAAAUAAAUUCACUUAAAAUGA